UUUGUAUACACCACGUACAAAACAUUUUUUAAAUGUUAGCCAAGGCCUACCCUCGCAGUGUUCGAAAUUGGUUUAAAACUUGGUAUAGACCACAGGUCUAUGCCAAAAUAAGAUGACUUAGACCUCAUCGAAUUGGCAUAGACCACAACAUUGAAAAAAUAAUAACACAAAUUUAAAACAUUUUCAUUUACUUCUAAUAUACUUAGAAAGUGUAUUUUCUUUCCAUUUCUGUAAUAUCAUCCUUUCCUCAUAAUGUUUAUCAGACGUCGACUGACCAUGCAAGGCCCUCUUGGAUAACUUUAUUGCUUUAAAUCUAGAAAAUUGGCAUAGACAAUUUGGUCUAUCUCAAUUACAGUUGGCAUAGACCAGUGCCAUUUGACAUAUACUCGGUCUAUGGUUAAUUUUUAACACUGCCCUCGGUCCAAUGGGGCAUGAAUUUUCGUUUUUUUUUCUCCUCGUACGACAGUUUUUUUGGGGUUUUUUUAUCAGAUGGUUGUGAUUGUGAAAUACGCUUGGGUGGUUUUGAAUUUCCCGGACGAGCCCCCUCCCUAUACUUCAGAAAAGGCAGCAUGGUUGAUAAUUUUUCUAUGCGAAAUUUGACUACUAAGUCAUGACAUUUAGUCUGAGUCAAUCUCACGCUUUAUUUGUAAUAUAUACAGAACAUAUAAGAAAACAUUUACAGGCCCAUCGGACUCCAGGGUUUAAUAUUUUAAGAAGCCCGAUCCCGAUUUUACUGGCCUCGGGCAUCAGCCACUGGUUAAUGUCGAAGACUGUGUUACCACUGAGCUACCAUGACCAAUUUUUAUACGCCCGUCUUAAGACGGGACGUAUUAUGGUAUGGCGUGUCUGUCCGUCCGUCUGUUAGCUUUUUCGUGUCCGACUCGUAACUUAAAUACUACAAGGCCUAGAAUCAUCAAACUUUGUCUGUAGAUACAUCUUGGGUAGAAGGUGUGUCGCACAUUAAGACCAGGUCACUGUGACUUUUCAUUAAGAAGAUAUGGCCAUAUAUGGCAAAAACUUGUCCGGCUCAUAACUUGAAAACUAUUAGACCUAGAAUCACCAAAAUUGGUCAACUAAUGCAUCUUAGGUAGAAGGUGUGUCGCAUGCUACUUUAAGGUCACUGUGACAUUUAAUUAAGGUGAUAUAAAAAAAAAAUGUUUUAAUGGGUACUAUCUAUACUGUUAACAAUAUGUGACGGGCGUAUCAUGUGCCAUGGCGGUGCACUUUAUUUAACAUGAAUUCAUAGCUAAAAAAAAAUUAUUACUAAUUUUUUGGUUAAUUCCAUAAAUAUAUUAUUCCGCUCUCUAGACACAAUUCUGGGUUACCCCCCUGCCUUUGGGGGUAUAAGCACCUCAUUUCUUUCAGAAUGGCACAAUGUCAGGAGAGCUUUUGUUAUUUGUUAUACUCUUAAUGUUGAUGGCAUGCAUCUAUGAACAACAGGAUAAUUUUUUAGAUUAUUAUUUCUGAUAUCAUAUUUGUAAAUUGUUUAUGAGGGGUUGUUAAAAGUUUGUGGACAAAAGGACGCACUUAUUAAAAAUUCAGAGUUAUCGUAAGUGAAAAAUAUAGGAGAUGUGUAACAAGAUUGUAUAUUUGAAGAUUUUAAUUUUAAUUAAUUUUUAUAAGUAUUGAUUUCAGAUACAUGUAUGACAUUGCAUGCUUGGUGGGGUGGGGGGGGGGGCUACAGUUAGAUAAUAUUCUGGUCAGCACAUUCGAUAAACUACAUGGAAUUCAUUAAAUCACUUCUUUUUCUUUCAGUGGUCUUCAACUUUUAAUCUCCAAGAAGGAAAUGUAAUUAAAAGAUGAAUAAAGUAUCCCUAAGAAUACCAGAAGAAAGGCUAUGUGUUGAGAAAAACAGCCCUUCCUCAGUACCUCAGAACUAGAUGAUAGCCCUUAAUUGUUACUUUAUGCUGAAUAUGACACAGUAUAGAAGAUCUGAUCAUGAAGAAGUAACACCAUUGAUACACUUGCCAACUGCCAAAAUUACUUUCUGAUAGUAUGACGAGAUUAGAAGAUAUCAUGGUGUAGUCAUGACACAAACUGCAAAUCAAAGAAUUAAUUGUCUUCCCCAGAGGAUGAACAGAGCACGAUGGCUUCACAUGGAUAACAUUUCCUUUCGAGUUUUGAAAUUAAUUUGUCAGAAUGUUAUGCAUCGUUAUCAACAGAAAAGAACUUCAUAGGUAGACCAAAGCUGACAUGGGAUGAGAUCCUAGAACAAGACCUAGAGUUUACAGGAUUGGAUAGGAUCAAUCCACUGGGUCGCCAAGUGUGGAAGUACAAACUUCAACCUCGACAGGACAGCCAGGCCUCACCCUUGCAAAAAGAUUAAUUUGGCCUGGAUAGUCAAAAUGAGUGAUGAUGAUUGAUAUCAAGGUCUGACACUGGAAGCUCAGUAAGGGUAGAUGCUGGCAAUGGAGCUGUUUAGCAAUAAAACAAACAAGUUUAACAUUAAACAUAUUUGUAUACUUUUUUGGCUCACCUGAGCUUUUCUGAUCACCUUUGCCUGUCGUCUGUCUGUUUAUAAACUUUUCACAUUUUCAUUUUCUUCUCCAGAGUGAACCACUGGGCCAGUUUCAAUCAAACUUGGUAUGCAUCAUCAAUAGAUAAAGGGUAUUCAAGUUUGUUCAUAUAAAGGGUCAUGCACCCUUCAAAAAGGAAAUAAUCAUGGAAAUGCAAAAAUAGGGUGGGGUCAUUUAAAAAACCUUUUCAAGAACCACUGGACCAGGAAAGUUGAAUUCACACGAAAGGUUCCUGUUUUGUGCAAAUCAUGGUCUCUGGGGGUAGGGUGGGGUCACAAUAGAGAAUCAAAGUUUUACAUUCAUAUAUAGUGCAUAUUCAAGUUUGUAAAAAGCUCACAGGGGUAGGGUGGGGGUCACAAUAGGGGAUUUAAGUUUUACAUGUGAAAUAUAUACAAGGAAAAUCUUUUAAAAUCUUCUCCUCAAAAACUAGAUGCAGAACCGUAGCUCUUUGAAAAGAGAGCUUCAGAUGAACCCCUUAUAAAAAAAACUUCAAUUUAUGGCAGAGAAAAAAAGUGCAUGUUUAAGUCCCUCUAUCACUGCAUUCCUGCAUCGCUGUCUCAUGAAUUUAAUAUUAAAUAAUUCCCAACAUAUUUUCCCACUAUACUUGUUUCCAAACAUACUUUCAAAUAUUUUCUAAACCCACAUAUAACCCCAAAACAGCUUCAAGUGAUUUCAAUUUCUUUGUUGAUGUAGCCAUGUUAAGUAGCCAGUCGAUUUGAACCCCAGUUCAUUUCCAUACUCAUACUCAUUUUGAAACAUAAUGUUUGUGUGAACUAAUAUCCUCACAAAUAUUUUUAGUGAAAUAUUUUGGAUGAAAUCAUCCCAGUUGGGUUAAAUACUUAUUAUUCAAAUACUGUAGGUUUGAAUAUUGAACUAAUCUCACAGCUUUCUUAAGUUUGGUCCCCAUCCCCACCAGUCUGUUUUUACGCUUAACUAUUGAAAUGGGGUGUAAGGGAUCAGACUAGGCUUUUAUAGCAUUAUCAAUUUUCAAAAGCUUUAGAAAAAUUAUACAAUUUUAGGUCACUUGAGUAAACUCAGAUGACAUAUUGCUAUUGAUCUGCAUCUGUUGUAGUCCGUCGACAUUAACAAUUGAACAUUUUUAACUAAAUUCUAUAACUGAAAGAUGAAGAUACCGCACAGCGAUCAAUCUACGAUUCAAAUAACGGAAUUCUUUUCAAAUUUAGUAUGAAGCACACAAAUUUACAUUAAACCUUCUUGACAUAGUGCAUAUUCAAGUUUGUUAAAAUCAUUUCCCCGGGAGUUAUGGUGUGGUAACAAUAGGGGGUCAAAGUUUUAUAUGCUAGCUGAUAUAAAGGAAAAUUCUUUAAAGAUAUCUCUUGAACUAUUUAAGCUAGGGCUUUCAUAUCUUGUAUAUACAAUUUUUAUGGCAAAACAAAUCUGACCUAUUCAGUAUGUCCUGAACUACAUUGUGUUUAAGGUAGAUCUUUCAAUUAUAUAUUAUGAAUUUCUUAUGAUAAAACCUUUCAUCUUGUUGAGGAGCCUCUCACCUCUGGUUGGCGCGGGUUUGAAUCCUGCUCGCACCGGUAAUUGAGAAAGUUUCCCAGUUUACUCUCGGAAGGUCGGUGGUCUCUUCCCAGGUACAUUGUAUCUGGGUUCUCUCUUCCACCAAUAAAAACUGGGCACCACCAGAUAACUGAAAAAUUGUUGAGUGUGGCGGAAAACAGUUAAAACAAUCAAUCAUAUUAUGUUAUUUGACCUUGUGACCCUGAACUCUGAGUUUGACAUACUUUUAAGAAAGUAUAACGUAUUAAGUAUAUCCAGGACUAUUUUAGAUAGGGCUUUUAUGUUUUGUAUAUUGAUUACUUAUGGCAAGGUCUUUCAUAUCAUACCAAGACCUACGACUUUUUACCUUGGUCUUAUCCAGAACAGCAAUAUCAUGCUAGUCAUAUCUUUGUCUUAUAUGAUUUCAUUUUAGUAAUGUUGUGUUCUUUAGAGCUAGGUUUGGGUCACAUUAUUCAUGAGAAUAAAGAUUGAUAAAAUAGCAUUUAAAAAUCAAAACAGCAGGGCCAAGAUGACUCAGGUGAGCGAUGUGGCCCAUGGGCCUCUUGUUGAUUUUGAUAUUUCUACCUAUAUCAUUUGUAUGAGAAAUGGAACUCCUUUUUUUCUUUUACAAAUACAUGUAUUAUCAUAUGGAUCCAUCUUUGUUGAUUAUUUAAUCAAAGGACAUAUUCAAUGUAUUAAAUGUAAAUUUAUGGAUAUGUCUGUGGUUGAAUUACUUAUGUAUGUAUGUAUACAUUUUUCUCGCACAUGCAAUUACAUAUAUGAUGUAUAUAUAUUUACUAAUUGUACAUGUAAUAUCCCCUGUUAUAUAAUAAAAUAUAUGACUGAGAAUAAAA